UACGUAGGGAGCAAGCGUUGUCCGGAUUUAUUGGGCGUAAAGAGCUCGUAGGUGGUUCGGUAAGUCGGAUGUGAAAUCUCCAGGCUCAACCUGGAGGGGUCAUUCGAUACUGCCGUGACUAGAGGUCGGUAGGGGAGUGUGGAAUUCCUGGUGGAGCGGUGAAAUGCGCAGAUAUCAGGAGGAACACCCGUAGCGAAGGCGGCACUCUGGGCCGAUUCUGACACUGAGGAGCGAAAGCGUGGGGAGCGAACAGG
rnacentral:rRNA from 1 species